CGUCAACUGAAGAAGAAGAAGAAGAAGGAAAUGAGUUUGAAUUAAAUAGCGAUUCAUGUAAGCAACUAACAUAUUCUGCUACUGAUGCCACAAUUGUUGCUGCUUUUAACAACUUUGCUUUAGCGCAUAUGUUAACAACAUCCUGUUAACUUCUUAUUGUUUCAUUUUAACAGUUAACUAAGAACAGAGCUUCCAGCAUUAAAUUUGUUGCCGUUGAAAACUG